UGUAUUUUCUUCUCUUCCGCAGCGUGUCAUCCUUGGGUUGUUUUAAAUCUUUAAUUCCAAGAGGUCGGUUCUCCCACCACAGCAUUCUGGGUGAAAAUCUCCACGCCAGACAUCUGUCUAAGGCUGUUUGUUCCGCCCUGCGCCCUUUAAGCCCCAUUUCCGCGCUGUGGAAGCAGGACAUAGCGGUGCAUGAUCAGAUGGAGACCAGCCAAGCUGAAGGGGCUGGAUCCCAGCAGAAUCUGAGGCCCCUAUUGGCUCAACCGACAGACUAACAUCUCUGCUGUAGCAGAGAACUUCUUCCCACAAGCUCCAAGGCCUGUCGGUCCGCAAUGCAGGGGCGGCAUAUACU